GAGAUAAGUAAAAGUAAUGAGUCACUUUUGAAAAUCUUAGCCUUCAAAUGUUAUAUUCUUUCUUACAGCUGCCUCAAUUAAAAACACUUGAUUAGCAUCUCCGUAUUCCUGUACUGCACAUGCUGUAAAGUUCCGUAAGUCCAAGCAUCCUAUCGAACACAUCUUUUUUAAGGCUUCUUGGAAUGAAAGGAAGCCUACCUCUACACAAGUUAUUGUAGUCAGUGAACAGUCCUUGGACAAUGAAAAAAUGCAAAUCCCUCCAGAGAUCCAGAUUAUUUUUGAAGGAGAAAACCAAAAACUUUUCCAGCUCUUUUUCUUAAAGCA
rnacentral:lncRNA from 1 species